GAUGAACGCUGGCGGCGUGCCUAAUACAUGCAAGUCGAGCGAACGGACGAGAAGCUUGCUUCUCUGAUGUUAGCGGCGGACGGGUGAGUAACACGUGGAUAGCCUACCUAUAAGACUGGGAUAACUUCGGGAAACCGGAGCUAAUACCGGAUAAUAUUUUGAACCGCAUGGUUCAAAAGUGAAAGACGGUCUUGCUGUCACUUAUAGGUGGAUCCGCGCUGCAUUAGCUAGUUGGUAAGGUAACGGCUUACCAAGGCAACGAUGCAUAGCCGACCUGAGAGGGUGAUCGGCCACUCUGGAACUGAGACACGGUCCAGACUCCUACGGGAGGCAGCAGUAGGGAAUCUUCCGCAAUGGGCGAAAGCCUGACGGAGCAACGCCGCGUGAGUGAUGAAGGUCUUCGGAUCGUAAAACUCUGUUAUUAGGGAAGAACAUAUGUGUAAGUAACUGUGCACAUCUUGACGGUACCUAAUCAGAAAGCCACGGCUAACUACGUG
rnacentral:rRNA from 1 species